GUGAAAGUGAAAGUGUUCAGACUCGUUCUAACUUCAAGGAGCAGACGGAGGAGACGUGAAGUCUGAGGCUGGGAGGAGGAGCCUGAGAACAGAGAGCGGUCAGACUCCAUUUUCACCUGGACGAGCAGAAGGAAGGAAAGUGAGCAGGCCCAAAAACAAACAAAGGGAGAGACAAAUUCUCCCCCAGAGCCUCCACCCACUGCUGCAGUUGUCUAAAUAAACCCUCUAGUGGAGGACAAGUCACCACUAGGUGCUCUAGAGUCUCCCUGACACCACAGAAACCACAUCCCUCCCCAGCGCUCGGGUCCAGGUGAGCUCUGUGUCUGUUUGUAGCUAAAGCUCCAUGAAUAAUCCUCCACUGGAGGUCACCCACCCGUCUGUCAACAGGAGGUUUAUACAGGACCCUCCACCUGCCUUCAGGGGUGCAGCCUGCAGCACAUUCCUCAGUCCACCUCAUCUCCUUGACUCCAGCCAGAGAGUGAAGGUUCAGCACCUUCACACAGCUGACAUGAAGCUGCUUCUUCCCAGAAGAGCUGAAAACACCCAGCACCGGUGUUUUGAAGGAAAGAAGCAGUCCACUCUCCUCUCUCUACCCGUCAGCAGCAGGGCUGACGAUCAGAAUCAUCUCCUACCAUAGAGCCACCGGGCACCGGGCCGCUACCACCCUCAUCCCCGACCACAGUAGAACCUUUAACACCCGUGACCACCAUUAUAUCUUCAGUGCUCACCUGUCCUGCUGUGCUCACCUGAAUCACCGAGCCGCCUACAGCAGCGGACUCGU